rnacentral:rRNA from 1 species
GACGAACGCUGGCGGCGUGCUUAACACAUGCAAGUCGAACGGAAAGGCCCUGCUUUUGUGGGUUGCUCGAGUGGCGAACGGGUGAGAAACACGUGAGUAACCUCCCCUUGACUUUGGGAUAACUCCAGGAAACUGGGGCUAAUACCGGAUAGGAGCUCCUGCUGCAUGGUGGGGGUUGGAAAGUUUCGGCGGUUGGGGAUGGACUCGCGGCUUAUCAGCUUGUUGGUGGGGUAGUGGCUUACCAAGGCUUUGACGGGUAGCCGGCCUGAGAGGGUGACCGGCCACAUUGGGACUGAGAUACGGCCCAGACUCCUACGGGAGGCAGCAGUGGGGAAUAUUGCACAAUGGGCGGAAGCCUGAUGCAGCAACGCCGCGUGCGGGAUGACGGCCUUCGGGUUGUAAACCGCUUUCGCCUGUGACGAAGCGUGAGUGACGGUAAUGGGUAAAGAAGCACCGGCUAACUACGUG